GACAGAGCUUUCCCAGCCAGGCAUCGCUGCUUUGGCCUUGAAGCUCAGCGUGUGGCUACCUGGACCAAUUCUGUCUGAUGGGGUGUGCAGUAGUGUCAUGAACUACUUCUAUCCCAGGAAGUAACUUGUAAAUGAGUGGAUGAGCCAAUUCUCCUUCUUUCUCUUCCUGCUGGCUGAAGUGUGGACAUGAUGGCAGGAGCUGCAGCAGUCACAUUGGACCAUGGGUCAUCGUGGGAAUGGAAGUCACACAAGGGUAUUUAAAGCCACACAAGGAUAAUGAGCACUGGAUAGAUGGAGCCCGAGUCCCCAUCACAGUGUAGCCCCUGUAACAGAUCUAGACUUCCUGCCUCCCACAUUGAGUAAACUGCUCUCUUGCUUAAGCCACUAUUAUGUUAGGAUUUUUUCAACCCAUAGUCAGAGAUAGUCCUAACUGAUUCACCACCCUCAGAGAGUUUACAGCCAAUUAUGUUUCUCAUGAAAAAGGUUAGCCAGUGGUUGUAAGUGAUCCCGGACUGGAGCGCCAGCUGCACUAAGGCAGUUCGUCUGUGGGAUGGCUCUGUCCUUGUCAGGGAGAGGACCCCUCCUACACACUGGCAUGUUACCACAAGUACAGUGGUAACUAAGCAGGUCGGCAUAGGUGCCCACAGAGCAGACUGAACACCCCGUUUGCUUCCCUCUCCUCUCCGAACUCCCUGGACAUGGCCAAGUAGCAUAAGCCAAGCAGAGGUGAGAAGGAGAGUGGGGCACAGGCAAGUUACCAGUGGGCCCGCGGCUAUCAUGGACUUCCAGAAAAUAAAAAACAGGCAUGAUGGUGUUGGUUUAUAAACCAAAGCAGAGGGCACUGGAGCCCCGUAAGUGUGCAGGAGUGAAUGUAUGUGGCAGGGAGAAGGGUAGAAGGGAGGAGGUUGGGUAGAAGGCUACCUCUACCAGCUGGAAAUGAGUGGUGAAGUCAGCUGGACUUCUGGGUGGGGCGGGGACUUGGAGAACUUUUCUGUCUUACAAAGGGAUUGUAAAAUGCACAAAUCAGCACUCUGUAGAUAGGAUUGUAAAACGCACCAAUCAGCUCUCUGUGGCUAGCUAGAGGUUUCUAAAAUGGACCAAUCAGUGCUUUGUAAAGUGGACCAAUCAGAACACUGUAAAAUGGACCAAUUAGUGCUCUGUAAAAUGGACCAAUCAGACCAAUCAGCACUCUGUAAAAUGGACCAAUCAGCAGGACAUGGGUGGGGACAAAUAAGGGAAUAAAAGCUGGCCACCCUCCAGUCAGCAGCAGGCAACCCACUGGGUCCCCAUCCCUGUUGUGGUGUAUUUGUUAUUUUGCUCUUGGCAAUAAAUCUUGCUGCUGCUCACUCUUUGGGUCCGUGCCACCUUUAAGAGCUGUAACACUCACUGUGAAGGUCCAGGACUUCAUUCUUGCGGUCAGCGAGACCACGAACCCACUGG
rnacentral:lncRNA from 1 species